rnacentral:lncRNA from 1 species
UAUAAAGAACAGGAAGCACCGCUGCUGGAAAGGAGCCAGAGCUACCAAAAGCACAUCACCCUGAAGAUUUGCAGAGCCAUCUCCGUGAGCGGAGGGCCGGAGGGUCGGAGAGAUGCUGGUGUUGGACUUGGGCGUAUGGUUCAUCCCACUGACGCUCGUCCUCGUCCCGUGCCGCCGGAUCGUGCUUCUCCUGUCCAGGCUCGAGGAGCUCCGCCGGAUCAUGGCGCGGCCGAGGCUCGCCACCGCGGACAUCUGGACCCGCUUCGCCACCCUCAACUCCAUGGCUUUCAUGGUGUGAUGGUACACACGCCGCCGCCGCUCCAUCCAUAGCUGUUUCCUCAUUGGUUGGGUGUGCUUUGCUGUCCUGGUUUUUGGCUUAUCACAAUAAGCCCCAGCUUCUGGGAAUGGGAUGUACAUACGGCUACUUACUUUUAGGACUUGCCGCAGCAUGUGUAUGUGGGACGAGAUGCAGAUGAGGACUUUAUUUACAGUGCUUCUGACAAGAGUUUCCUGAUCUUUAUAUGAUGCGUGUAUACUUGCUUCAAUUUCAACCUGAGGUUUUUCUGAACAAGCAUGCUUUUGUAGUUUUUGUUAUCGCCUGAUGAUAGAAUUUUCUGCAUAUCUUGAGUUGUUAUCAGUUUAUCACCUGAUACAAUAAGAAUAGUUGGCAGAGCUGGAUCUUUCAGGGGAAGGGAUAAAAGAUGCAGUGGGCAAAUUAUUGCAUCAGUCGGCAUGAACAGGCCUGAGAAGAUAAGGAUCAAGCUGGGCAGAUUCUGCUGAUUUUGAAAAGCAUCCCGUGCUUAGAUAACAUGAGAAGCCGGUCGCUGUGAAACGGAACACUGGACAGCAGACCAUAUAAUAAGUGGUCUACCUUGGACGAAUGUCUUCCUUGGCCCCCUAAAAGAAAAGAUAUACAUGGUGCUGUCAUCGUUUAGAUGAUGAUAAGGUCGACCCACAGGCCACUAGAGCACAAACUCCACCGAGGCACUGAGCAAUGCCUAAACUAGACUCAUCAUUCUGCAAAAGAUGUGCCUUACCGACAGUCAACUAAUCAAACUGGUUUUCGAUAGCCGUGCGUGUAAGGAAGGAGGAAACUAGGGAUGGCAACGGGGUGAGUCGGGGUCGGGUGAAGCUUCCGCGGACCCACCCCCAAAACACAAAUUGUAAAUCCAUCCCGAACCGAAACACCAAUUGGGUGGAAAUGUUGCCCCGACCCCGAAACCCGCGGGUGCCCGAAACCCGGCGGGUCCCUCGACACCCGCGGGCGAGGGGCGCAGCCGGUGCGCGUGGCUAAGGGGGCGGGGUGGAUAGGCCACGGGCGGAGAGGGGAACCGAGGGAGAGGGAGGGGGCAGCGCUCGGGGCCUCGGGGGCGAGGGGCGUGGGCAGCCGGCAUGAGGGCGCGGGCGGCGCUCGCGGCGAGGGGCGUGGGCGGCGCUUGCGGCUCGGGCGGUCGACGUGGGGCGCUCGUGGUGAGGACGGCUGGCGGGGGGAACUGGCGGCGCGAGGACGGCCAGCGGGGGGCGCCAGCGGCGCUCUGGCGAGGGGGCGACAUAGGGAGCCUGUAGAUGAAUCUAAGGUGCGACGCAGGGUGAUGGAUGGAGUGGGGAGUCAUAUAGGCCCUGUUUGGCAUGGCUCCAGCUCUGGGUGGAGCUGCUCUACUCCAAAACUCCAGGUAGAGUCAGCUCCACUCCAGAACUUCAGAAAUAAAAUGGGGUGUUUGGCUAGAUGGGUACUCUCAGCUCCAAAAAAAAAUCAAUUUCAGUGUUAAUUGCCAUUGUUGCCCCCAAUUCAGACCCCACUUGUCAUCCUCUCCCCCUCCUUUCUUCCUCCUUUCUUUUUCCUCUCUCUGCUGUUGCCCACUGCUCACCCGAAGGAAGAGGAGGGGAAGGCACCAGCAGGUGGGUGGUGCUGCCGGCGGCAGGAGGUGCGGCCGGUGGCGGGGCUCGGGCGGGCGGCGGGGGGUGCGACCGGCGGCGGGGCUCGGGCAGGCGGCGGGGGGUGCGACCGGUGGCGGGGCUUGGGCAGGCGGCGGGGGGUGCGACCGGCGGCAGGGCUUGGGCGGGCGACGGCAGGGGCAGCCGGCGGCGGGGGGUGCGACCGGCGGCGGGGCUCGGGCGAGCAGCGGGGGGUGCGGCCGGUGGCGGGGCUCGGGCGGGCGGCGAUGGGGGCGGCCGACAGCGGGGAUCGGGCGGGCGGCGGGGGUUGCGGCCGGCGGCGAGGGUAGGGCGGACAGCGGUGGGGGCGACCGGCAGCGGGGCUCCAAGGCCGGAGCGCGCGGGACGGAGGGGCCACGGCGGCCGGCGGCGGGAGCGAUGGGCGGCGCUAGCGCGGUGGAGACCGGUAGAGACGAGCGCGUGGAGUCUCGGAGGAAAAUAGAACGAACCGUUUUUUCUAUGUAACCAGUGGUAUUGGUGGGUAAUUAUCCACCAACUCCACGAGGAGGUUCAAAAGAGUGGUUUCUGGAGUAGCAAAAGAGGUGCUCCAAAACUCCACCUCCAUUUGCACUACAGCUCCAUGGAGUUGGCUGCUCCAUGGAGUUUUGGAGUUGAGGUGUUUGGCUGGAUUUUUUGGUGGAGUUGCUGGAGUUCUGGAGUGGAGCCAUGCCAAACAGGGCCACCAAAAGAGGUGUUUGGCAUGGCUCCACUCCAGAACUCCAGCAACUCCACCAAAAAAUCCAGCCAAACACCUCAACUCCAAAACUCCAUGGAGCAGCCAACUCCAUGGAGCUGUAGUGCAAAUGGAGGUGGAGUUUUGGAGCACCUCUUUUGCUGCUCCAAAACUCUCUAUUUCGAACCUCCUCGUGGAGUUGGUGGGUAAUUACCCACCAAUGCCACUGGUUACACAAAAAAACGUUUCAUUCUAAUCCUCCCGAGCUCCCACCCGUGCCUAUUUUCCCACCCCCGUCACCUGUCACCUACCGCCUCCCCGCCGCCCGUUGCCGCCCCGCCUGCCGUCCCGCCCCCGUCGCCGACCCCAUGGCCGCCUCCCCGCCGCCCUUCGCCGCCCCAUCCCGCCGCCCCACCCCCCUCGCCGCCGUCGCCAAGCCCCACCUGCCCCCGUCGCCGCCGUCGCCGAGCCCCGCCCGCCCUCGUCGCCGUCGUCGGCCCCGUGGCCGCCUCCUCGCCGCCCCGCCCCCGUAGCCGCCGUCGCCGCCCGUGGCUGCCCCGCCCCGCCCCGCCGCCCGUCACCGCCCCGCCCCCGUUGCCGCCGUCACCGGCCCCGUGGCCGCCCCGCCGCCGUCGCCGCCCAGCCCGCCAUCGGCCGGCCCCGUCGCCGCCCAGCCCGCCCACGUCUGCUCCUUUUGCCUGCUGCCAGCACCUUGCUGCAGCUGCCGCCCAAGUCCGCUCCUUUUCCUGCUGAUGCCGCGCUUGCUUGGUGAGCAGAACGUGGCAGGAGAAGAAGAUGGGAUAGAGAGGAUGACAAGUGGGGCCUAAAUUGGGGGCAACAAUGGCAAUCCACACUGAAAUCGAUCUUUUUUGGAGUUGAGAGCACCCAUCUAGCCAAACACCCCAUUUUUUCUAGAGUUCUAGAGUGGAGCUGGCUCCACUUGGAGUUUUGGAGUGGAGCCGCUCUACUCGGAGUUGGAGCCAUGCCAAACAGGGCCAUAGUUAGGGUUUUUGUUGGGCUGGGCCUAAUUUUUGGGCUGAAAUAUACAUUGUAGGGCCCCGCGGGUGGAAUUGUAAACCCGACCUCGCACCCGCCCAAACCUGAAACCCACGGGGGGGAUUCCGGACCCGCCUCCACCCCCGUCGGGUCUGAAACCCGUGGAUCUCGAGUCCAGACCUGCCCGAUUGCCAUCCCUAGAGGAAACAUGGUUGCCUAUCUUGGCCGGCCACGGUUGCGCGUUUAUAAAGGGUGAAAACCACCAAGAAAUUUACAUGGGUACAAUUGUGAUCACCUAGAACUCAUUUGCCUCAUAACUUGAAUUACAAGUAGAACCUAUCUCUAAGUAAUCCGUGUACAAUUGUGAUCACUAGGACUCAUUUGCCUCAUAACUUGAAUUACAAGUAGAACAGCAAUCCAUGUGUGGCGGAACACCUCGGAUUAACUCAACUAAAGUACGGUUAAGUCACUUAACACGCGAAUCUCAUGUUUUAAUCAAGUUAACUCGACGAUCCGUCGGAUUUCAUCCGAUUUAACCACUUAACAGGACCGAGUUAGCAUAGCUCACACGAAGGUGAGUGGUUACAGAGAAUACAAUAGAUCCACAAUUAGUUCAACAAUUCAUUACACGCUGGUUUAAAACUCUAAGGUUCGAAAAACAACUGAAGUUAGAAUAUAGCGGAAGCUAGCACCGAGGGUCGGAUAUCCCUGAUGAGGCUAAACAGGACAUCAGUGAUCCCAUUCCUCGCCGUCCGAGGAAGGAUCCCACUCAACCGUCCACCCAGGAGGAAGCUGGGGCGACCAAGUGCCAACAGCAGCACGCUCGGAAGUUUCAACUUCACCUGAAAAGAGAUGCCACAACAAGGCUGAGCUUCUAAGCUCAACAAGACUUAACCGACCGGUGGGAAAAAACUACUCCACCACUUCUAGAUAUGCAAGGCUCUGUGGCUGAGGGGUUUUGUUUGCCAAAAACAACUAUGUUAGGUCCUUACUUUCAAAGUUUCAGCUCAGAUUCUAAGUUCAUUAACCAGUCUAUAUUGGCAACUUAUACUAAACAAGCAUAGACCCCAACAUUAUGUGUAUAAACUCAACGGCAAGUUCAUGUCAUCAUCAGAUUCCUUCUUUACUCAGUGUAGCAUAGCGAUCAAGCAGUCUCAAACUGUGAGAGGCAGACGAAUCGAUUCAAGUUCCUUAACCAUGCAUGGCGAAUCUAACCUCACGACAUCCGCGCACCACCGAGGGUCGCUUGCUGUGUCGGCCGUCCCCAUCAAUUCCCUAACUCAUGUCGGACCCACUUCCCUUGGUGCAAGGUUCUACAGACCCGGCCUCUGCCGUUCCGUGACCACACUUGCCACCACAUGCGGCCGCAGGGGAAACUCCGUUCCAGAGACAGUGGAUCGAACCGCUCACGUCCAGGUUCAAUCCGGUACUAGGCUUCCCCAUCCCAUAAUGGGUAUGAGAUUAGUACUUUCAAACACUUGAUCACGAACACUACCACUGUCGGGCCUUAAACAGAUUCAAGUAAAUAGACGGGGCGAUCAGCCGACCACCAAAAGAGUUCACCAAGCCCUGCCCCGUCCAUCGUCCUUAUAGUUGUAACCAGAGGGAGAACAACCAACUCCUAUAACUCGCGAGUGACAGGAAAUCACUCGACUUCUGCCGAGCCCUAUUAAGCAGUGCAACUACUCGGACUCAACAGACUAGUGUGCAGAUCAAGGGAACUAAGUCAUGCAUCUAUGGUUUCAAACAACUCCUAUACGUAAAUGCACAUACAUGUGAAGGAAGGCAUGCGCAAGUUUAGAAAGUUGGGUGCAUGCUCCGGGGCUUGCCUUCAAGCGGGGUGGAGGCAAACUGGUCCUUAGCGGUUUCUGCUUCAGCUCCGGCGGUCGGCAGCUUAGCUACUGCUCCGUCUUCUGGCGUCGGAUGCAGUUCGUAGGUGCCGUCGGCGAGAUUUAGCUCUACACAAAUGCAAUGCAAGAGUUAGCACUUAGAUGGUUAUUUCAACAACACUUGCACGUUUAGCUCAGACACUUGUAGCAAAGCUAAAGGAAAGGCGGAUGAGUCCAGCUUCAGUUGGUGGAGCACAGGAUAAAAGGGUCGGAUGGGGAGAAACUUAUGAUCUGACCCUUAUACUUUAAGGAAUAACUGUACCGGGGUCCUCAGACUUAACACAGAGAAGUCCCCAAAAUUUUACACAGAUACCCUCGGGUCAAAGAAUAGAUACAGCCGAGCCCUCGGGCGAAGCGGAUAAGGCUCGGCGAACCAGGCAGGGUUGGGUGAGACGGAAAAAAAAGGGAUCGGGCGAACCAGACAGGGUCGGCAGUUUACCUUUAGGCCUACUGGUGAAGUCUUGGGAUCGGGAAGGAACAGACUCAGGCGGAAAGACUAAAGCGCUAAGGCUUGGAUGGCGGCGAGGUUCGACGGUGCUCCGGCGGCGGCGGUGCUUCUUGUGGACAACAAGGAAGCUCUAGCACCGUGCAGAGGAUCAGGCGGUUGGUGGGAUGGGGAGAAGCGGGUUUGAGCGGAGAGGGGAACUUCUCAAGAGCUCAAGCGGCAGUGCUCAAGUGCGAGCAGAGUGUGGUGCGGCAAAACAGCGAUGGCGAAGGAAACUCCGGUAGGGGCUCUGGUACUCCUUUUUAUAGCUGCGCGGAAGAGAGAGAGAGAGAGAGAGAGAGAGAGAGAGAGAGAGAGAGAGAGAGUUUGAGUAGCGCAAAAAUCGGGAAGAAAAGGAUAUAGUGCUCUGCCUUGGUAGCGAUUGAGCAGUGAUGGGCAGCAAAGCAGAGCUUCGGGGAUAGGGUCUUUGGCCAUUGGGCACUGGAGACAAAGCCGGCGCAGGCGCUGUUUUGCUGGGAUUAAGAGUUGGUGAAAGCGAGCAGGGUCUAGUCACGUCAAGCGGCGGAUUGUGGGCGGCGACUUGACUGGCGUGUAAUAGGAAGGAAGGCGCUACAAGCGAGGUCGUAGCAGGCAAGGUGACAGGAUGAGCGGCGGCGCGAGCGAGCGCAAAAUAGCGGCUUGCCAGGGCACAUCACUGGUGAGGCGGAAAAAGGAGUUGUCCCUGCCGGAGCCAUGGUUGGUGAGGGCGGUAUCAUCAUGGAGCGCGCUCGUGGGCGGCUCGACUGUGGAGAGGCGGAAAAGCCGGAAAGCAUCGGGGCGCGCGAUCGGGGAUCCGGACGAGGUGAUGGGUGCGGGAUGCAAGGCGGUCUGGCGCGGCAGCGGCAAAACUUCUGCCACGGUGGCGACAGGGCACCUUAGCGCGGCCGGCGAGGGUGCGAGCGAGACGAGGCGAGGCAUAAAUGGCUGCAGGGGCUUUUGCUGCGAUUGGGAGGAAGGCGCACUGAUCUAUCUUGUCGCGGUUGGCGACUAAGCGAGGCGGCGCACGUCGGAGAGAUCGAGCCACGCGGCGGGGAAGCUCUGAAGUGGGGCACACGCUGGCUCUGGCGCGUUUAACUCAAGAAAACCGGGGAUCUGGUUGUGGGUCCACCACUCAGUCUCUGGUUCUCCCACAGCUCUAAGAUUUUUGGAGGGGCGCUGCUUCGGGACUUAGAGAAGAGCUGUCGUUUGCCGGUUGGUGCGGUUUUAGGGGUCGGACCGGUGGAACUGCAGAUUGGGAUUAGCCUUGAGAUUAACUAGGCUAGUUAACCAGGGUCGUUACACCGUGUCUAUCUCUAGGACCACAACAGCAGCUAACUUGUUACAAACAUAUUUCUAACAUCCUCCCUCAAUCUAAACUUCUCUUCCUUUUGAGAUUUACAUUGUACUUGAAAUCUUCUAGUUUGCCAGCUGAUAAGGCAUUAGUAAAUUGUAGCAAAUGUGGCCUCAUUAAGCUAUAGUUUUUUUUAUUUUGGUGAUUGAGUGACAACAUAGUUAUUGAGACUAAUGCUUUCUGUAACAUGUACCUUGUAGGUUAUCUAGGUCCCAAGAAUGCAAACCAAAUCAUGGCAAGACCCAAAUGAUGCUAUUCGAGUAUCCAAGUCAUAGUAUUCAAGUAUGCAAGAUAUGGUAUUUAAAUAACCAAUCCAUGGUAUUUACGAUUAUUCUAUGGUAUUGAAACAUCCAAAUGAUAGAGAAAAACUAGAGAGAAGGAAAAAUGAUAAUUCUAGACCAUCGAAGUGACGGUAUAUUUGGUGCUUGCUUUGGACGAGUUAGAAGAAAAAAUGCACCAUCAGAUGUUCCGAUACCCCACCAAAGCAAGUGUCGGACUAACCAUCCGAGCAAUUGGUACAACUGGGAAAAUAGGGAAAAAUCUCGAGUGCACCGGAUGAUCCGAUGGGGGUCAUUUUACAAGCGUCGGAGCAAUUCGCUGAGGAAUAGCAACGGAUGUUCCGAUACCCUAUGUAGUUGACCGUCGGAUGAAGCAUAUUUACUUUGAAAUCACACAUAAGGUUUUGAUCAGAAUGCCCUUAGCACCGGAUGAUCUGAUGGCACCAUCAUAGAAAGCAUCGGAUCAAUGAUGUUAGGGGCAUCCAAUGGCUAUAUGACGUGAGCAGUGGCACCGGAUGAUCUGAUGGGGGUAUCGGAUAAAGCGUCGGGUGAAUUUCUAAGGAAUUUGGGUGCGGGGAGUCCAACGGCUAGUUGCACCGGAUGUUCCGAUGCAGGCCAAAAAUAGACCAUUGGAACAUCCGAUGGUAUGCUUUUUUACUAGCCAUUGGAGCUAUGGCUCUUUGAGCCCUUGGGGGCUAUUUAUACCCCCACCACUCGCCCAUUUGAAGUUGCUAGAGUGUCUAGGGAUGCAUUGAAGACCAAGACUCAUCAAGAACACAUCCAGUUCGUAAGUGAUACAUCAAAGGCUUAGCACAAGCUUAGGAGAGUGAUUAGUGCUAGGAUAGGCCUAGAGAGGAGUGAGUGCAAGGUGUGCUGAUGUUGUGAUCAGGUUCUAGAGUGAACCACUGCUAUACAAGAGGUGUGCUGGAGCCUUGGAACCUUGGUGGCUCGCCAGCAAGUCUUCGACCCUCCGACUUGGUGUGGAGCGGCAUCGACAACCUUGUGUGAGGGACGCGGAGACCCUCUUCCUUCGUGGAGAAGCUCCUUAGUGAAAAUGGCAUCAAGGUGAUCGAAGAACUUGGCGUGUUCCUUAGUGGCCGAGCCUUUGUGGCAAGUCAAGGGAUACCUUGGGAGAGACUUGGUGAUCGGGAAGCAAUACUCUUGUGUGAGUGCUUCAACAACAUGGACUAGUGGUGGCUUAGUGCCUAUUGAUACCACGGGAUAAAUCAUCGUGUCAAGAGUUUGUUUCCCCUCGUCCCCUUCUUACGUUUUCGCAUUUCAUACUUGCAACUUGUGUGCCUUUACUUUCCUAGAGUAGUAUCUUGAUAGGAUUGGCUAUAGGUUGCAAAACUUGUUUUGGGAUGAGGGUUUCAUACUAGAUCAACCAUAGACUGCACAUCUAGAUAGCAUGAUCUAGUUUAUGUUUUAAUGCAAAGUAGUGGAAGUCAUAGGUUAAGUUUUUAAGUUGCCUAAUUCACCCCCUACCCCUCUUAGGCUACGAGCACCGAUUCCUUUCAUAAAUCUAUCUGCAACUUGAUCAUGAGUAGACACUAAUCUAACUUGUAAUUGUUUCUUGGUGACUCUCUCGAACAAAGUGAAAAUCAAUUUCAAUAUGUUUUGCUUGAGCAUGAAAAACUGGAUUUGCUGAAAGAUAAGUAGCUCCCAAAUUAUCACACCAUAAAAUAGGCGGCUGUUGCAAUUGUAUUCCAAGUUCUAGCAACAAAGACUCCAGCCAAAUCAACUCUGUAGCAGCAUUGGCCAUAGACUAUAUUCUGCUUCAGUACUAGACCUUGAGAUCGUAGCUUGCUUUCUAGCACUCCAAGACACAAGAUUAGGACCAAAAAAUAUUGCAAAUCCUCCAGUAGAUUUUCUAUCAUCAACACUACCAGCACAAUCAGCAUCAGAGCAAACACCCAAAGUCAUUGAACUUGACUUCUUUAUGUAUAACCUAACAUCCAAUGUAAAUUGCACAUAACGAAGAAUUCACUUAACAGCAGUCCAAUGAAUAGACAUUGGUGCAUGCAAAAAUUGGCAUACCUUCUUGACUAAAAAAGCCAGAUCAAACCGUGUAAGAGUGAGAUACUGUAACGCCCCAACUAGACUCCUGUAAUGUGUGCUAUCCUCUGGGCCCAGCGGUUCACCGGCAAAACUUGAGAGCUUUUUAGAACUUGACAAUGGUGUUGAAGAGCCUUUACACUUCACUAUACCAACUCGUGUUAGAAUCUCUUGUGCAUACUUUUCUUGAGAUAGUAACAAUCCUUCUUUAUUUCUUUGAACCUCAAUGCCCAAGAAGUAAUUCAAGUUACCAAGAUCCUUUAGAGCAAAUUCUUUCCUCAAAUCCAAGAUUAAGGGCGAAACAGCUUCACUAGAUGAACUAGUGACAAUGAUAUCAUCAACGUAUAUAAGCAUAUAAAUAAUAAUUCCUAAUUUUUGAUAAAUAAAUAGAGCAUUAUUUUAUUUUGAAGCUAUAAACCCAAUGUCAAUAAGCUUAGAACUUAACAUCGCGUACCAGGCACGUGGAGCUUGUUUCAAACCAUAAAUUGCUUUAUCAAGUCUACAAACUAGAUGUGGCACAUCACAUCUUUCAAAAGCCGAGGGUUGUUUCAUAUAUACCUCCUCUUCCAGAACACCGUGUAAGAAUGCAUUCUGAACAUCCAACUAUCUUAAACACCAACCUCUAGAAAUAGCCAAAGACAAAACAACUAUCUCCAAUAUUGAAGGUCUAGCACUGAAGACAAAACAAUCUUGACAACCGAACUAAAUGUAUCCUCAUAAUCAAUUCCAUAUCUCUGCCGAAAACCCUUUGCUACCAAACGUGCCUUGUAUCUGUCAGUUGUCCCAUCAGCCUUCCUCUUGACCUUGUAUACCCAUUUGCAGUCAAUUAGAUUGCAGCCAUAUUUGGGUUCAACUAAAUGCCAAGUAGUGUUUCUAAGUCAUGUCAAAAAUUCCUCUUGCAUAGCUUAUCUCCACCGUGAAUUAUUUAGCGCUUCUUGUAAACUUUUAGGUUCUCUACAGAAGUUCCCAUAUCAAAUAGUCCCAUCUGUAAACCUUUUGGGUUUGACAAUAUCAUGUUGAAUGCAUGUGCGUCAUUAGGAAGGGACAUCAGACUCAACUUGCUGCACCGGCAAACUAGAUCUGACGGGAGGCAUAGAGAAUCCGGCGAAAGACCCUGUCGACGCGGCGGGAGACACUGUCGGCGUGGCAGCGGGAGACUAGACGCCACGCGGCAGCAGCAAAUAGGUAGGCAGAGAGGAACAACUGCGAGCGGUUGAGCGGGCCUGGGUGAAUGUAACAUCCGCAGAAAUCACCAACUAAAAUCACCCGUUAAAAAUCGCCUUUAAAAUCUUUUUACCGCUGAGCUCCCGGAAAUCGAGAAUUCCCCGGCGAUUUCGCCGUCCCGGCACCCAUGCCGACCCCUACCUUUUUAUCUGUGCCCGUAAAUCUCGCCGCGUGCCAUCGACAGACCGCCACGCGCGUGCUCCGACCACGCGCCGCAAUCGCCGCCGGUUCCCCCUCCCUCUUUCUUUCUCUUUUUCCUCCCCUUUCUUUUUCUUUUCCUUCUUCCUUUCUUCCUCCUUCUUCUUUCUUCUUCCUUCCUUCUUCCUUUCUUCCUCCUUCUUCUUUCUUCUUCCUUCCUUCUUCUCUUUCCUCUCUCUUUCUUCUUCCUGGUUGCUGGCGCCACUCCUCCCGGCUGGCCUCACCUCCACCACCGACCGGACCCCCCCUCCCCCGGCCUUAACUCCCGCCGGCCGCGCCGGCGCCCUCGGGAGGCGCGCCGCCCGUCGACCGGUCCCACGCCGGGACCCCGACGCCGGCCCCCUACCUCCCCUGCUCCACCUCCGGCCUGGCCACGGCACCGGUGCCGUGCCGGCCACCGCCGCCCGCCGCCCCUCGGAGCUCGAGCCCCUACCGCCGCCGGCCCAGCCUGCCCGGCCCCCACCUCCCUGCCGCGCGCCGCCCGCCAGUCGGACCCCCACUCCCUGCCGCCGGCCAUCACGCCACCGCCGGCCUAUAAAAGGGCACCGCCCGGCCAUCUCCCCACUCCAUCCGCCCGCCGCCUUGCUCCUUCCUUCACCAAGCACCACCACCACCCGUGCACCGCCGCCUGUGCCACUCCUCCCGUGCCGAGCCGCCGCCGCCGCCACCCGUACGCCGCUCGUGGCAAGCCGCCGCCACCUUGCCCACCGCCGGCCGCACCUCCCCCAUCUCUCACCCCCAAGGUAAGGGGCAAAAUGGGGCCCCCUCGACUCCCUCCACCGCCCCCUCCGCCCACGGCUCGCCGCCGGCGAAGCCCGGCCGGCCGGCCGCUGCCGGCCAAAUCUCUUCCCCACUCUCCCUCUCUCUGUUCCUGGGGAGAAGAAGAUAAGAUGCCCAGAUUUUCGAUCUGACCCCCUCUUUCUUCUAUUAGCAAAUGAGUCCUUCCACCACUCUCAAGAGAUUCUCAUGGAUAAGCCCCUCCACCUCCAUAAAUAUUUACAGAUAGGUCCCUGGUUUAGUACAAAACAGUCCUAAACCUCCUAUUUAAGCCCUAAUUCAUGUUUAACCCGUCAUUUCAUGCGCCAAACAUCCUCCAAUUAAUCCCAAAUUUCACCACGUCAUCCUCCAAAAUACUUUCGCCGAUCCAUAUCCAAAUUUUCCAAAAAUAAUCCUUCUACCUAUUUUCCGUUCACGUUUUCUGUUCCGAGCUCACGGUUAAAAACCGAUCUUUCUUUUAUUUAUUUGUGUGUCUGUUUGUGUGUGCCGUAGAUUGCGGAUUGCCCGAGGAGGAGCCCGAGGAGGAGUUUGACCGCGAGCCCGAGCCCGAGGACCAGUACCGCGUGCCGGAACUCCCGGAAGGCUUUGAAGACGGCAAGUCCAAUCUCACCCUUUGAUGCAUAUUUAAUACCUAGUUUUUCAAACACAACCCAUUGGCCUGUUUUACAAAUUGUAUAUUAUUUCAUCGCAAGACAUGGUUGGAUAGCCACCUCCUUGAUUGUUAUGAACAUUCCUUGCUAUCCUAUGGUUGUCUCUAAAUAUGACACGCUCUAUUUAGUCGAUAACCACCGCUAGAAUGCUUAGGAAAUUACUACUUAACUGCAAUCAUUAUUACAAUGGUGUAUUCGGAAAAUAAAUGUGUGUGUGUGUGUUCAAGUGAGAAAAAUGGCUUUUUGGGUUCAAGGGAAAAGGGUGUGUAGACAGGAUGGAUGGGUAUUCCUUGUGUGGGAUGCCAGAAUGUUGUGCUCGUACCUUGGUGGUUGAGCAAUGUCGGGAGAUAUCCAUCUUGUCGUGAUUAAGAACCGAGUUGAUGUGUCAUCUUUCCUAAUUCCACCAUCGUGCAACCACUUGACCGUUGUAUGGGCAACGGCUUAGCAUAAAUCCCACUAGCUGAAUUGUUAGUCCUCAGGGGUGCUGGUGAGCAACAGGAGCCCAUGGAAAAGGAGUAAGAUCUUGGUGACUUAGGUCCCGGUUACGGUCUCGUGGACGAGCCGUGAACCCCUUGGGUGCUUCCGCGAGGGCUAGCCAGUCUUAGCUAAGGUGGGUAAUGGCUUUGUUAGGAUCCGCACCGGUACUAAGGUGAUCGUGCUGCGGUACCCUACUUGUGGGAAAAGUGUACAACCUCUGCAGAGUUAAAACCUAUCCGGGUAGCCGUGUCCACGGCAUUGGGCGAGUUACGGCUUGGUCACAUAACUAGCACUUGGGCAUGGAUGGUCACGUGUGUGUGUGCGUGCGUGUGUGUUGGAUUUUCGGAAGUGUCCGGCAGCUGUGCCGUGAGCUAUGACGGACGGGGAGUCCGAUAGCGAUAAAAACUUGGAUCCUUUGUAUAGGAUCAACCCCACUCCUUGCUCGGUUACUAAAGCAAAGUUUUACAAAAAUUUAUUUGAAAACGAGCCUAUGCAUGUAUUAAAAUUUAGCUUUAUUGCAAAUGAACCUUAGCCUAUCCUUAUUAUACCCUGUGCAUAAACUUGCUUGUUUUCCCCUCCGUGGAUGGGGUUGGACUUGUUGAGUACGUUCGUACUCACCCUUGCUUCGUUGCUACAGAGGAAGACCCGGACUUCAUCGCCGAGGACCUUGAGUAGAGGUUGUGUCCGCACCCAACGCUGCCUGUGGUGUUGGCCUUUCCAAGAUGCUGCUGCUGCCGUGUAGUCCCGAGUGCUGUCUUUUGACAGUCGCUUGGUUAGCCGUUGUUCUUUAUUUACUGCUUAUCGCUGCGUGGCUUUCACGCCCACUCCCUCAGGAGUUGUACGGUAACUGAAUUAUCUGUCGAAUAAAUGUGUUAUCAGCCUCCUGGGACUGAUAUUUGUAUCACAUUUAGUCUCUACUUAUGUGGGGACGCUUCAGUGAGCCACCCCGGGAAUCAGUGCCCGAUCCGGCAGCGUGCGCAGGCGCAGGCGGAUCCGCCUGGGAUCCGAUGGUGGGAUCUUCUGCGGCAGGGACUUUAGCAACGCCCGAAUCAUUAACAUAGGCAACUUCUUCUCCAAUAUUGAGCUCCAAAUUUGAUGGAUUUAAUUCUUGCGCAUCACCAAUAUUCUCACCAGAACCAUUAGUAAUAUUAGUAACAUUAGGCACACAAUUUACAUCCCCAUAGCUAAGCAAAUGUGAAGGUAAAAGAAUAAUCUCUUUGCGCAAUUGAGCAUCAGCAUUAGGAUUAAGAUGAGCAAAAGGGAAAAAUGCUUCAUCAAAGACAACAUCCCUGGAGAUGUAGAUGCAGCCAGUCAAGAUGUCAAGGCAUUUAAAACCCUUGUGCAAGGCACUAUAUCCUAGAAAGGCACAGCGAAUAGAACGGAAGGCAAGUUUGCGUGAAUUGUAUAGCUGCAAGUUGGGCCAACAAGCACACUCAGAGACUCUUAGAGAUGUAUAAUCUGGAGUUUCUUGAAGGAGCCGAGAAACAGGAACAUCAUAGCAAUUAACUUUGCUAGGAAGGAGAUUAAUGAGAUAGGUAGCUGUAAGAAAAGCAUGAUCCCAAUAUUUCAAGGGCAUGGAUGCAUUAGCGAGGAGAGCAAGACCAACCUCAACUAUAUGUCGGUGCUUUCUUUCGGCAGCGCCAUUUUGUUGAUGAGCAUGAGAACAAGAAACUAGAUGUGUUAUUCCUAUGCGUUGAAAGAAGGAAUUCAACCUCUCAUAUUCUCCUCCCCAAUCCGAUUGGAGAGACUUAAUCUUCCGACUGAACUUUCUUUCUAAUAGUUGUUGGAAAUAUUGAAAAACUUGAAAGACAUCAGAUUUUUUUCUUUAGCAAAUAGAUCCAUGCAUAUUUGCUAAAAUCAUCAAUAAAGCUAACAUAGUAGCUAUGUCUCCCAACGAAUAAAGGAGUUGGUACCCACACGUCAGAAAAAAUUAAAUCAAGGGGAGAUUCAGAUGAACUUACAAAUAGAUUCAGAUGAACCUAAAUCAAGUUGGUGGCUCUUGACCAUUUGACAUGAAUUAGAAAUAGACUUUGAAUCUUUAACACUAGCACAUGGAAGUUUAUUCAAACUAAGAAUUUUUUCUACAAUAGGAAAAGCUGGAUGACCAAGUCUACUAUGCCAUCGAGUAGUUGAAGGUUUAUUGACUGCAAAGGCUUGUUUUCUGGAAUCUUCUGGAGACAGAUGAAAUCCUAAAGGAUAGAGACCACCUCGGGAUCUACCUUGAUGGAUGACUUUCUUUGUUUCCUAAUCCUUUAUACAAAAGAAAUUUGGAUGAAAUUUUAUGAAAGAAUCAUUAUCUUGAGCUAGCUUAUGAACAGAAACUAAAUUAUUGGUAGCACUAGGAACAUGAAGGAUAUUUUUUAAAACAAUAUUCUGGCUUGAAAUUAAUCCAAGAGCAUUAUAUAUGCAUGUGCAUCUCAUAGUCUGAAUCUCACUCUUUGUGAUAUGGCAAAAUCUUCCAAGAUAGCUAUUUCAUUCUUCGGUGUUAUACAAAGGAUAUAUUGUUUGUUUGCACGCUCUACUAAAAGGUGAAAAUAUUUGACUGAUAAUGUUGAGAGGUGUCAAAUAAAAAGUGUGCAACCUAUCAGGUAUCAAGCCCCACAAAUAAUAUAAGCAUUGAAGGAAGUGGAAAGAACUGCUAUUGAUGACCCAAAAAUAGUAAGUGAUGCUCAAUCAUUGGCAACUGCACUUGAGAAAUUUGAAUUUAUAGUUGGUAUGGUUAUCUGGGAUGAUAUUUUAUCUACUAUCAACAUGGUGAGCAAAAAGUUACAAUCUAAGAUUGUGUGCUUAGAUGCUACUCUCAAACAUAUUGAGGGGCUCAUCUCAUAUUUCCAAAAGUAUAGAGAAGAAGGUUUCAAUGCUAGUAUUGAGAUUGCAAAAUCCAUUGCACCUAGUAUGGACAUAGAGCCAAAAUUUCCUACAAAACGCCAAGGUAAAAAAAAGAAGCAUUUUGAUGAACAAAAUGAUGAAACUGAAGAAUUACAACUUUCAGCUAUAGAUGAGUUCAAAGUUAGUUACUUCCUAGUUAUUGUGGAUGCUGCUAUUGCUUCAUUGACUAGUAGAUUUGAACAGCUAAAGAAAUUUGAAGAAAUAUUUGGUUUCUUAUUCAACUCAGAAAAUCUGAAGUCCUUGGAUGAUAAUGAUCUACGAAAGUGUUGCACUACUUUUGCAAAAUCUUUUUCUCAUGACAACAAGUCUGAUGUUGACUUGGAUGAUUUUUUCUCUGAAUUAAAAGUGUUGCAAGUAUCUUUGCCAGAACAAUUGAUGUCAGCAUCCGAGAUUCUUCAGUUUGUUAAAGCUGUAGAUUGCUAUCCGAAUGCCUCCAUUGCAUAUCGGAUUCUCUUAACUAUUCCAGUGACAGUAGCAUCAGCCGAGAGAAGUUUCUCCAAAUUGAAACUAUUGAGAAAUUAUUUGAGAUCAACUAUGUCACGAGAAAGAUUGAAUGGCUUGGCUAUGUGCAGGAUUGAGAAGGAUGUUUUGGACGACAUUAAUCUUGAUACCAUUCCUGAAGAUUUUGCAUCAAGAAAUGCUCGAAGAUGGUUUUUUACAAAGCACUGAAGCAUUAUAUUUUUAUUUAAGGUAAUCAUAAUGGUUAUUGUUUUUAGUUUUCUUGUUACACUAUUGUUAUAUUUUAUGAGCUAUAUAUAUUGCAAAGUAAUUUUUAUUAUUUGUACUGUAUACUUAAGUUUUCAAAUUAAAAAUUAGUUCAAGGGGUCCUUAUUUUCAUCUUGCCCAAGGGCCCUUGAUAUUAUAGAGCCGGCCCUGCUUGGUAGCGCGAGCGUGGGAUUAGAUGGUGACGCCAUAGGCUUGAUUUGGGAGGUUGUGGAUGUUUAUGGAAGAGGAUGCUCUAAUUACCAUGUAAGAAAGGAGUAAACGUGGUUGACUAUCUUGGCCGACCACGGUUGCGCGUUUAUAAAGGGUGAAAAUCACCAACAGAUUUACAUAGGUACAAUUGUGAUCAUCUAGGACUCGUUUGCCUUAUAACUUGAAUUGCAAGUAGAACGUAUCUCUAAGCAAUCCAAGCUAGGACCACAACCGCAGCUAACUUGUUACAAACAUAUUUCUAACAGUGUGCACCGAAAAAGUUGAUGCUGACCAUUGCAUGAAACUGGUUUGGGCGCUACUGGGCGGACUGUCAGGACUACUCCCCAGACCCACGAGUAGACCUUGGACAGCCCACUAAGGGACGUACUCGGACGUGAUCAGAACAAGGAUGGGCGUAUCCUACUCGGAGUAGUCUUGUAUGUUUGUGGAAAACUACUUGGGCCGAUACCAAGUAGAACUCUAUAAUAGUACCCGACUAGGACUCAGACUUGUAACCCUGCCCUCCCGUGUAUAUAAGGCCGGGCAGGGACCCCCCUCAAACAACAAUCCUCAAGACCAGAACGUACAUCAAUACAAACCAACACACAGGACGUAGGGUAUUACGCGAUCUAGCGGCCCGAACCUGUCUAAAUCGUGUUCCUUGCGUCACCAUUGAUUCCUUGAUUCUCGACAACCCUUACCGCACAAAAGACCACCUAGGGUACCCCUAGGCAGGUUGCCGGUCUAAAACACCGACACGGACCCCGUUGCCAAAUCUCGGAGACAAUCACGCCAGAUGGCAAGCAACGAAAGGAAAACAGAGAUAAAAUAGUAGGAAGAUCUUAAUACUGUAUUAGUGAUGCCUUCGUAAGGAAAAAUGCUAUCGUUAUCACAGUGGAUCGAAAAAACCAACCAACAUUCUCUUCAAAAUACAGUAUCAUUUGCAUCUUUUUUCAGAUAGUUGAAAUGUUGGAUUCGUAGGACACGCUAGCCGAGGGGGAAAAAAGGGUAGUAAUCAGGAAGAAAAAUAGGAGAUCGUAUGGACUAUUACAACAACCUACUAAACCAUGAUACGUACCAUGUACUCACAUCAUAACAACCAUCGCUAUCUGAAACUAGCUACGAUGACUAACAUAGUACUCGAAGCUUCGCCCUUAUCCGCCAUCAUCUAACCAAUAACCUCGUGGGGAGCACUGGGUUUUGUGCUUUGGCACAGCACAGCAGGCAAGACCUAAUACGCAAAGCAAGCUGCAGUCUGGUAGGGCCUCAUCAGCACCUCCAAACCGUACCGAUCUCUCUCGUUGAUUUCAGGGAGUAAAAUUAAAAACUGUGAGAGUGCACUAACACUAACCUCGUGCCGGUGUCGCGGAGGUGAAUCGCGGAACCGAUUCAGCCGAGAUGUAAGGCUGUCCACACCGCGCGCCGCUAAACCCGCUGCAGCGCGGUACUGGAUGGCUGCCGCUAUGGAAGCGGUCGGUCGGUGGACUGCUACUCCUGGAGGACGUGCCUGCCGCCCGCUAUCCGCUUCCCGAGGUUCCGCGCGGAGAGAGAGAGUUGGGAAGAGAGAGGUAGGGGAAGGGAGGGGAAAAAUAUGGAGUAGUUAGUAUAGAGUAUGAGAUAGAGAUAACACAAGUGUGGAAGAAAUGAAUAUAGAGUAGAGAAUCUCGAUGACUAGGAUAGAAUAUUCUUUUUAGAGUAUGAAAAUAGAGGUUGACGAGUGUGGAUAGCUUAACCCCGCUACGAAUUCGGAUGGCAACUUGACCUUGUAGUGGGAGGACUAGGAGGAGGGCGGCGACUUUUAUUUACCAGUUGACCGGGAUCCAAUUCGAACAGACCGCCAUCACGGCAGAGAGCACGAGCGUAUCAACCUCCAGACUCCAGUCGUCGACUUUCCCCAAGGUGAAGGGAUUUUUUUUAAGGCUUGAUUUGGCAGCAAGGGAGUCAAACCCUAGGGAGCAAAGCCACCAGGAGGAUUUUAGUGGCAAAUCAAUUUUUCGGUGGUAAAUCAAUAGGCCGGGAGGAUCUCCCCACCUAGGUUUGGGAACCAAAAGGCUAAAUUCCUCUUUGGAGCAAAAAAAAAUACUUCAAAAAAUUAAAAUAAAGAAAAAUAAGAAAUAAACAUUCUUGUUCAAAUAAAUGCAUCCUUGUUCAAACGCAUUCAAAUAGCAUAGAUGGUGAUAAAUGGGUGGGUGUGAGUGGCUGACCCAAAGCGACUCGGGAUGUGCUGAGUAUAAUGUAUGUGUGCAGAAGAUGGGAAGUGAUGGUCCAAAUCAAAACUCUCAUCCCCAUUACUCAGCUCAAUAACAUCAGCAGUUCAACACAGUAGUAAUAAGCAGUAAAGCAUUACAUACUUUAGCACAAUUACGACUACAACGACCGGUGAUUCUCAGUAGAAAUAGAGCAUUCAAACAUAGCACCUAUGGUUUAGCUAGAUGCUUAGCUAAAAUAAACGCAUUCAAACAGUACUGAAACUGAGCACAUAUGGUUUAGCCAAUUCCAGCCACAUCCCUAUUUCCAUCGGUAAUAAAACAUAGCACAGAUAGUUCAUUCCAUCCCAAUGAUACCAACUUGGUUCUGAUCGUGUGGUAGUUAGCUCACUGAAGUAUAGAUCAUGAGAGAUCUACACUCAGAUUAACAAUUAAAGGCUUAGAUUCAGCAUAUAAUUCAAAGCAGACAAAUAUAGACAAAUAGACAUGUUAAUCAAUAGUUAAGUUAAUGAUCAAGAUAGUAAUUCAUAGAAGCUACAGAAGGUUAAUAAUUCAGAAGCUACAGAAGGUUAAUAAAUUGUCACAGAAGCUACAAAAGUUAGCAAUUCAGAAGCUACAGAAGGUUAAUUCAGAAGCUACAAAAGGUUAAUAAUUGUCAUACACUGAGCAUAUUCAAAGAGACAUACCUAAUUUUUUGCUUUAGCCACAUUAAUCAAACAUUAGGAUUCUUGGUUGUAAUGAAUAUCUUCCUAUGUGUCUCAAACUCAAAGACAUCGAAAGCAUAUGACUUCUCGUUAUCGGUUAAUUUAGACAUAGCAUCCACUUGAUCAAUACACUUCUCAACUGAAAAUUCUUCCUCACGCACUUUCCUUUCUUCAAGAGCUUGCAAAGUUUUUCUGGUUUGGCUCUUUUUGUACUCCACAUAUCCCUCAAGAGCAGAUCCAAUGUGACUUUGCUUACGCUUUCUCCCACUUCACCAUCUUCCUAUAUUGAAUCUUGAGCUUCAUUGCAUUUAUUAUGUGCACUAGAAGUCUCUUGGCCAUCGAAACUCGAAGCAAAUGGAUUAGCAUCCAAGUGACUGCUGCUUUAUUCAAAGUUAUUUCUUUCAACAGGAGGUGCAGGAGGAGGAACAGUAGGAGCAACGGGAGGAGGAAGAGCAGGACGUGCAGGAGCAGAAGGUGGAUCCACUUGCAUGGUUGAUGUGAAGUUUAGUUUUCCUGUAGCAACACUUCCUUUUUUCAGGAGACAAUUGUAACUCAUAUUAGAACCACAAAAUUGUUUGAUACUGAAAGCAAUGAAAUUAAGCUAUGCAAGUGAGGAAACUUCACCUACAUAAAUUAAGCUAUGUAGCCUUUCGUUGCUAACAUUGUGUGAGAGCAUAAACAUGAACAUCCCAAGCUGCUCCUCAACAGCAACACCUCGUGUGUCAUGGAGCAAAUUCUCUCUUCUAAGAAAGCCUGCUGUGACUUUAAAUAUUUCAGACUCCAUUCAGAACUCAACUUUACACCAACUCAGGUGACCUUCAAGGAUUUCCUUAACCUUUUUAGCACCAGGAAGAGAAGAUGUGUGCACAGACAUUUUCUCUUCUUGUAGGUAUGGAAUUAUGGCAGGAACAAGUACAAAAAAUAGCUCAUCAUCCUUUUCCUCCUCCAACAAGAACUGCCUAACUUGCUCCUCCCAAAAUCCCAUUUUCUAAUGUACGUAUAUAUAAAUCAUAUUCUUAAUUAGCGCAAUGAUCUAAGCAUUUAUCAUAUACUUAAUAAUAAAAAAUAGGAAAUGAAUACACGCAGCAAGUAAGAGAAAAUGAUAGCGCCCAUAUAUAUCUAAACUAAGAGAAAUCAGGCUAACAAACCAAUAUAGUAACCCAUCAAAUAGAACAAUAAAUCAACAAGAGCAGCCAACCAAUAACUUUCAGCUUGGAUUUCACCAUAUAGCCUAGAUCCCUAGAAAAAUAGGUUCCUAAAAGAUUUCAUACAAGGCUACAACCUCAUAAAUAAUGAAUUAUCGGAAAGGACAGAAAAGAUGAUGGCAUCAAACAGGGUUGCAUAUGUCAGAGUGAUGCACGAAUAGAGUUUUCAAUUAAUAGAACAAUUCCGCCAGCUGACAGCAUAUGAGCCAACUUGCCACAGUAAAAUAGCAUUCAACAUCACAUGUCAGUACUUCCCCAAUAAAAGAAAAGGCGCUCAUUUUUUCUAACCACAAUAUAGCUAGAAUCAAUCCAAUCUCCAAUUCCACAAAUCAUCAUAAUACAAGUACCAAAAUUUUCUUUUUAUGCCUGUGAUGAUGUGAAUAGAAGUAUACAAGCACCAUAGAGUCUAGCAUAGCCACACAUCAUGCCACAAACCAAAAACAUGUCUGGUGCUGAGUUACUUGACUAGAAUUUUUGUUGACAAAAGUUCAAGCUCAUAACUGAUCCCUGUAUGAUUGAAUUAGUUUACGUCACCUAAUAUCACUAGAAGUAAAAAUUCCAAACAUGUAUUUCCUGAUCGGUUCUAUAGUUCCCAAUUAGCCAUCAGAAUGAAUAUGAAUAAAACUCGCCACUUCACAUCAUUUGGAUCAAAUAUGCAUGAACAGCUACACAAAGAAAUGCGACACACAAAUCAAAAGAUGCUUUACACAUUAAAAUGAAUCAAUAUGCUAAACCCAAUAAAUGGAUGCCACAUCCAGGCUAAGGUACAAUACCAGGAAAGGAAAAAAAGAUUUAUGCUCUUAACGAAUCUAGGGCUUCAUCCAGAUAAACCAAUCAUUUGUACAAUGAAAAACAAACCAAUACUUGAAAACACUACCUCUAGACAUGCAGAGAUAGAUACUAGAUACAAAAGAAUAUCAUUUCUACGUAUAAAAAAAUCAGAAAUGCGGCACCUCCUACUUCCAAACAUAUUUGGAUCAAAAUGAACAUUCCUACAAUAGAAAUGGGACAACUCCCUACCAGAUCUUUGCGUAUUCAUACACAUUUCAGCAUCAAAAGAAAGAUUCUUAUAGACAAAAGAAAAGAGUAAAAGGUGGCACCUGAUGGCUGAUGGGGAGGCGGAGGUGGCAGGGGAGUCCGAAUCUAGCAAGUCCCCCGCCGUAGGAACUGCGUCAGUGUCGGGGAUAGAUCCCCAGUACCUGCAAGGAAGGAAGAAGGCGGAUUCCUACUAGAAUUCCCCUGUAAUCCUACUACGAUUCAUACCACGUAAUCCUACUAGGACUCCUCCUUAUAACCGACUAAUUAUCUCACCCCCGGAGUAUAUAAAGGAGGGCGAGGGUACCGUCUGCGUCCCAUGACCCGAGUACAAGGUGGAGCCCAGUCGGAAUCGUGCUCUCCAUCACCGAGUUGUACUCGGCUUUGCCGAAAACCAAAAGCUACACACCACCAGAAGAAAAUGUAUUGCUAUCUCUGCAGUGUUUCGGAGGCGGGCAAGAAAAUUGCCAACCCGCGAAUCAAGAAAAACAAAAAAAAGAGAAAAUCCAUCUCUCACGCUUCACGUGGACUAGGAAAAGUAACAGUAGCAAUUCCCUGUACGUGAAUUGGAGGAAAGAAUUAAUUGCUACUCUCGCAUGCGGGAUCAAGGCAGAGACAAACCUGUCCAAAACUACUCGGUUUGGCUCAAAACUACUCGAGGACGAACGCUACACACAACUAGUCGGAGACAGGUCUCUUCUUUAGUCAGCUUCGCCAACAACCAACAGCUAGCAACAUUGACCUCGCCAUGACAAACGACGACCUGCCAACGACUACUUCGACUACUCAUCUCGACUAGAAAACUAGUUGAGGGCGGAUUCCAUGUGACCGACAACUAGUCAGAAUCAACUCCGACUAGUCGGCUUUAUAAAUAAACCAUUGUGGCUUCAUCGAUGAAAAACUCAACUACCCAUCUCGACUAGAAACUAGUCGAGGGCGGGUUCCACAUAAUCAAUAACUAGUUGGAAUCGAUCUCGACUGGUUGGUUUCGUCAACAGUUGACACGGCUUCGUCGACAAUCAUCCACGAAUCAAGCUAAAUCACUUUUUUAAUUUUAUAUAAAUUUUCAAUUUGUUUUCCGCAUGCAGGGCAACGCGCCGACUACUUAUUUGUGUACACCUCUCAACAGGAAUUACCCUUCAGAGCUACACUUUGCCAACUAUUCCUAGAGCAUGUUGACCGACAGCCAUAGGCUUGGUAUACCAAAUUACGGAGGCUACGGCCACGAGUUUGGUGCACUAAGUUUUGGAGACACCAUCACGAGUUCGGUACAUUGAACUUUGGAGGCAAUAGCCACAGAUUUGAUGCACUAAAUACACCGAAGCGCAGCAAAUUCUUGCGCACAACACCCGCUCUACUCGCUGGAGGGUAGCAAACUCUUGCGCGCAACACGCGCUCUACUCAUCGGAGGGCAGCAAACUCUUACGCACAACACGUGCUCUACUCACCAGAGGGCAGCAAACUCUUGCGCGCAACACGCGCUCUACUCGCGGGAGGGCAGCAAACUCUUACGCACAACACGCGCUCAACUCACCCGAGGGUAGCAAACUCUUGUGCGCAACACGAGCUCUACUCGCUGUAGGGCAGCAAACUCUUGCGCACAACACGUUCUCUACUCGCCGGAGGGCAGCAAACUCUUAUGCGCAAUCGCGCAGUCUCUUUUGUCGCAACAACGACUACUCAUUUUUGUCUUCUCUUAAGGUCAAGUUUCGGCGACGAUGCUCCAAGAUGCUAAGCAUACCUCCAAAGGCAUAGCUAGUUUCCAAACUCGGGGGCUAAGCACCAAUUACUACUCGUGGCUCCGCUAGCUCCUAGACUCAGGGGCUAAGCACCGGAAUAUCUCCAAUGGCUCAGCUAGCUUCCAAGCUCGGGGGCUAAGCGCUAACUAGUACUCGACGUGGCUCCUCUGGCUCACUUGGCGCAUAAGCUCAGGGGCUGGACACCGCAAAACUACUCGAAUGAUGACUUGCAUGAAGAUUCAAGAUCCUUGGAUUGAUUAGCUCGAGGGCUAAUAAGCUACACCCAACAGUUAAUUUUUCAAGAUGAAAGAAGAAGAUCUAAGAUUUUAUUGACCCUCAGUCUGAUUCUUCGAUUCAACCAAGGCUCGGGGGCUACUCCAUAUGGAGUGCGACUUUUGCCGCCCUCCAUUAUAUGAAGAUAACAAUAUCAAGAUGAUUAAGGCUUGAGCACACCAUAGCCUCAUGGCAGCUUUGAGAAACUUUGAAGAUUCAGCCAGAUAAAGUACUCGAAGACUACCAAAACUACUUGGUGAGGAUCUUAAAAAUACUCGAAGACUGCUACAUUCGACUAUAAAGCGCUCGAGGGCUUGUCGGGGAUAGAUCCCCAGUACCCGCAAGGAAGGAAGAAGGCGGAUUCCUACUAGAAUUCCCCUGUAAUCCUACUAGGACUCAUACCAUGUAAUCCUACUAAGACUCCUUAUAACCGACUAGUUAUCCCACCCUCUGGAGUAUAUAAAAAAGGGCAAGGGUACCUAGAUCGCCAGCUUAGAGCCAACUGAGAACCCUCAGAACCACCAAGAGGUUCAACACCAAACAACAUCUAAGCGCAACGCGCAAUAUACAACGUUCCAAACAGAACGUAGGGUAUUACGCUACUCUGGCGGCCCGAACAUGUAUAAAUCCGUGCCUUGUGUCCGCGUUUUUACCUUUGAGUUCCAGGCCCGACUAUCCCCCCACCAACCAAUCUACUACCUCGGGAUACCCCUCGGUAGGUUGCCGGAUAUAAAACACCGACAAUCAGGUCAUCAUUCGCUUGUGUCUACAGCUUUUCCUCCCCAAGGUCUGCAAGAACUUUUGCGAGUGUGAGGUGAAGUGAGAAGAGGAGAGGAGAAACCCUAGCAUGGUAAGGAGAGGCUGACGAAGGAGGACUUACCUGAUGCAGAGGUGGAUACCUGAUGCGGAGGCGGUGGAGGAGACCACAGCAAGGGGCGUGCGAUGGCGGAGGAGAGAGCAGCUCAACCACACAUGGCGACUGCGGCGGUGGCGAUCUGUCGAGCGACGGGGGAGUCGAGUCGGGGGCGUGGCGGGGAAAAAUGCCAUACCUCGGCAGGUUGGAUGCGUUUUCGCGCGGAUAGUUGGGCUCGCUCGGACCGGAGAACUUCCCGCAUCAGACUUCCAAAUGGGUCGGAAAGAUCGUGCAUGGAAGAUUUUUGCGUGCACUUCCUCCGCGUGGAAAAGGCCGGGAACCUCGUGGGAAGGUGGGCUGCCAAGCUAGCCGUAACGGGAGAACCGGAGAAGGGAUUUUCGGAAGCCGGAUUUUCCGAAGCCAGAUUUUCCAUGUGGCAGCGCGGCCCGGCGGCUGCGCGUCGUGGGCCGAAACAACACGUGGUGGUGUUUCGCGAAUUGGGCUACAAACGUAUGUGGGCUUAAUUUGUUGGGGACCCUCAACUAGUGGUGGUUUUAUUUUAUUUUUUGGAUAAUGGGACUAGUGGUGUCCACACACUAACACACAUUAUCAGUUGCACAAUGGAGUUCACCUCGACCUGGCGAGACGAAGAAAGGCAACAUCUUUGUUUCUUUUAAGAACGAGAGCCAACAUCGGGCAAUGACUUGUCUACUCGUCGGCACGCAGUAGGCAGCUUGCCCCGUCUCGAAAUUAAAACGAAAAUACGGAGUGCUUUACAUCACGACGAAACUAAAAAGGACAUAGUCAGUGGCGGAUUCACAUUCACAUACUGCUCCCACCUUUUCUUCUCUCGUACUCAAAGCAUCAAGCCUAUGUUUUCCCGGUUAAUUCUAUCACCAGUAGCACAGAACAAGCCAGGUGAAGAACGGGGGCUUUGUUACCUGUACUGUCAAACACGGCAUUGCCCUCUAGAAAAUAAAACAGUGGCAACGAUAGCCCGAGGUGAGGAGAGACUGACCUCUGACCAACCCGGAUGGUUCUCGCGGUCUCACUUCUGCAUAACCCGAUCAUUUGCAUCCAGAGACGUGACGCUGAAUCACUUCCACACCAUGUUGCGCCAUCCACAGUUCCGUAGAAAAGGGCUGUGUCACCUAAACACUCGGACAAAUCGUGUACAGCAUAUGGUCACAUUCUUUUACGGCAGCACGCAAGCAUGCAUGGGAGGGAUGAAUGGCGAAGCAGAGAUUCAGUUCGAUGCUACUUGCACCUGUUCGCAGUAGGAAGGGGACCAACUACCAGCUGCUCAACAGACACCCGAGGCCUGCAGGGAUUACCAAACUCGAGUACUCGACCACCACCGCCGACUGCACGGACCUGACGACGAUGGCAUAUUUUGGCAUGCUAAUGUCUGGUGAUCAUUACCGCCGCGCGCGUGCGGGCACCGAUCUGCGAUUUGUCCGCAUCAUGCUCCAAUCAGCACUCAGCACUCCACCAGAAGCUGCUGUUGGCAGGAGUGAUGACACAAUCAGCACUUCAACAGAUUAUAUGAGCCUCAAAGGACACGCCGACUAUUUUGAACAAAGGAUCAAUGAUUAGGGGCUGAUUCCAGUAUCAAUGUUCAGGAGCGCGAGAGGUUCCAUGCCCGUUUGAAUUCAGAGCCAAGGAUGCUGAAACUGAAUAACCUUUGAAGGCGUGAACCUGAUUUUCUGAAAGAUUGGAAAAUUGCAGAACGAAACAGCAGCAAGAUUCCACAGAUGACAAGCAAAAGCAUAAGAAAACUGUGCAAAAUGAUCUUGCCUGAAGAAAUUUUAUUAGCCUACCCGAAGCGACUGCAACCAUGGUUAGGAACUAACGAACGAACGAACUGCCUGACGCACACAUUAGCCAGCGAAAUUACAACCGCGAUAUGUUCACUUCACAUGAACCCGACUACUCCCCCUCCCUUCACCGCUCUGCCGCACUUCACUUCAUUGAGGCUAUGAAACAGGACGGGAUUUUUAUACAGGUUUACGGCAAAAAGGAAAGGAACGCUUCGCUACUAGCUGCUUCAGAUCACCCGGAGAUCAUGUUACUUCCUGCUGAAGAGGCUGCGCAGCCUGCCGCGCUCCAGCUUCUCAAGCAGCUUCUUGGCGCCGGCGACGUCCUUCUCCGAGAGCUUCUUCAGGUACCCGAUGGCGCCGUGCGAGAUCAUCAGCUUCUUGCACCGCUUGCUCGCCGACAGCGCCAGCAGGCAGGAGAUGGCGUACUUCUUCGCCGUGUUCUGGGGGCUCGGCUCCAGCAGUUGCACCAGGUUGGGCACGCUCUUCUCGUCCUUCUUGAUGUCCCGGGCGUUGGGAGGGUACCCCAUCAGGCUCGCCACCGCCUGGGCCGCCGCCUCUCGGGCGCCGUUCGACUUGGCCUCCAGCAGCCGCACCAGCAGCGGGAUGCACCCGUGCUCGCCCACCAGCCGCUUCAUGUCCGUGGAGCUGGAGACCUUGCAGAUGGCCGCCGCGGCUGCCUGCUGCGCGCCAACGGAGCCGUCGCGGAGUGCGUGGACGAGGCGCGGUAGCACGCACAGCGACACCAGGGUGUCCGGCGAGACGGUGGCGACGAGGUUGCGGAGCGCGGCCACGGGGGAUUCCUGUGGCAGCGGCCCGUCGAUGUAGGCGAGCAGGCUGCGCAGGCCGCCCUCGGACACUACGGCGCGCCGCAGGUUGUCGUUGCUUGACGUCAGGUUCUGCAGGCACUCCGCGGCGUACUCCUUGGAGCCAGGCACCACGCCGGAGUCGAGCAGGUUGAUCAUGACCCGCACCACGCCUUCCUCAGCCAGCGCCUGCCGGACCUCCGGCACCGCAGAGAUGUUCUUGAGCGCUCCGGCCGCGGCAGACUGUGAGAUGGAGUCCCCAGUCUGGCAGACGUCGAUGAGCGGACGGACGCCGCUGUGGCCGACGAUGGCACGGGCAAUGUCGGGCGACAUGGACAGCCGCUGCAGCGUGAUGACGGCCUUCUCCCGGCCGACUACGCUGCCGGACUCGGCCAGCCGGAUGAGCGGCGGCAGCGCGCCUUCUGACACGAGCAAGCCCUCACAGGUGCCAGACUCGGCGAGCAAGCAGAGAACAGUCGCAGCCUUCUCCCUGACCUUGGGUGCCGUCGCCGUGAGCAGCUGCACCAGCGCGGCCACGUUGCCACGGCCGAGCGCCGACAGCACGCUCUCCUCGUUCUCGCGCAGAGCAUCAAGCAGCCCGUCCACCGCCCGGUGCUUCGCCUCCGCGUGCCCAAUUUGAAGCCUGGCAAGCAGCUCACGCACGUCCGUCUGCGCGCCCGCCGUCGCUGCCGCCUCAGCCUGAGCCACCGGGACCGUCGCGUCGGACAGCACACCAGUCUUGACAAGAAGAGCGCAGUCCCGGAGGUUGAGGUCCAGCUUCCCGGCGAGCGCGUCGAGGUCGCUCUGCAUCUGCAGCUUCCCGGCCUUUGGGGGCUCGCGGCAGCGCGCGCCGAGCUCCGCAGCCUCGGCGAGCGUGGCAGCCACCGACUGCAGCAGCUCCCGGCAGAGCGCGUUCUUGGAGAAGCAGGGGUGGCUGGACAGGUCCGACAGGCACGGCGUUACCCGCUCCAGCCUUACUGCGAUGGCCUUCCACCGCCCGCCGAAGCCAGUCGCCGCGCGCGCCGCGGCCAGCGCCGGGGGCACCAGCCCGCGCGCCCGCUCGAGCAGCUCCUCCGCCGUCGCGUCCCCGGCCACGGCCGGGCAGGUCCGCAAGCUCAUUUCUUGGCAGCUACAACACCUCAGCUCGUGACCUGCAAGUACUCACUCCUGACAGAUUAGUGCUCAUUCACUACUCGCUCACUCCUUUGCCACUCAAGCGGAAAAGACAAAUCUUGGAAAAAGAGCAAGCGGAGAAGAAGCUGGAAGGAGACGGAGCAAGGGAACGUCGGCUAUUUUAGCGUAUCAAAAAAUCCAAGGAAAGCUCCAGAAAACCAUAAGCCCACCGAGCUACUCACCCCUGAUACUGAUCUUUUCUUCGGCUGGAAGAUUGGUACGUCGAAUUGAGAGGUGUGAAUGCGGUGACCACAGCCACGAAAUUAUGAGAGGGUACGAAGGCGCUAUCGAAAUUUCCCAAGCGUUUUUCCGUGGUUACCCAACGGCGAGUCUGGUCUGGGCAUUUCAAAAAUUGACUCGAGGAAUGAUGACUGGGUAGGUGACGAGUGAAUGCGAACUCACGAAGAGAAAGAGAAAAUGCAACAGAAAUGUCCAAGUGGCACGAGUGGAAUGGAAGACCACAGUAAAGAUGAAUGCUGCAUCUCCAGCCAAAUUCAAAACAGAGUGACCAAUGCAACGCAGUUCUGAUCAGCGAGAGAUUUUUUUUAAGAAAAAGGUUCUCAUUUGGUUUGCAAUAGUGGAGCUACUAAUACUAGCUUUUUUGAAAGACCAAAGCAGCUACUAAUAGCUUGAUUUAUCAGAGGUGCUGGUGGGUUCCACCUGUGAAGAACGUGUGGUUUAAAGCGAAAUACGAAUGCUUAAGACUGGCCCCGAUUAGCAAAAUGGAGUAAGAUUUGGGUGCUGAUGAUUUUCACAUUACUUUCUCGUAUUCUACUCCAAAGAUCUCGCACUUUCGUCGCAGAAAAGAAUCAUGGCGAAAUAAUUGCGUGGGGAACGUAUCGGAAACGGACCGAGUCCUCUGAAAAGAUGAACGCAAAAAUCUCACGCGGAUGCUUCCCGUAAAGCCAUGGCCUACCACGCAUGCAUGCAAAGGAAGAUGAAAAGAAAUGCUUUGGCUGGAGGGUUAAGAAUGACGGUCGCAUUGGGCUUAACCUCAUGAUUCACGAAGAAAAGCUAGCUCGCGCUAAUUAGCACAGUACGGAAAGACGCGCGGGCCCACCGGCGGCACAACCACCAAACCACGCGUGCGACGGUGCGACCUGUGGCACACGUCGCCUUUUGUGGCAACCAACCACUUUUCUCGCACGAAUUAAAGGCUGUGUGGGCUCGUGACGCUACGCAACUGGUGGAACGGUGUGGGUGGGUGCAGCCGUGCAUGCGGCACACGAGACCGGGCCCACGCAGUCGGUCCGGCUCGCGACCGGAGUGGACCGCCUCGGCGGCCCGGGGUAUCCAAGGAAGAGACCGCGAGCCCAGAGGCCAGCGGCUCGGGGCGCUCCCGGGCCUGAACACGCUCGAGUCCGGUGGCGCGCGGGCCCGGAUUUCCUUCCACGCGCCUGCUGCUCAUUGGGCUGUGCUUCUACAGUGCGGGGGCAGUUAGGUCAUUUGACAGCAAAUAGUUCAAAAAAAAAAGACAGCAAAUGCCGUGCGGACGCCGGCGUCGGCGCGACGGCGCCGGUAGAGACGAGGGGGCGGAUUUCGUCUGCGUUUUCCUAGCUUUUUGUACUUUGCAAAGGGCCCCAAGAGAAAUCUGAAAAGAAAAGGUGCACCAACAGAAAGGAUCUUUUCCCUUGCAAUUCCUCGGAAGCAAAUCAAAAAUUUAAGCUCUCUACUCGUUCGGCGUCGCCCAACCGAAGGACGAUUCAUCGCGAUUUCUAGGAAAUUCGAGAGAUUUUCUGCAGAGACCAUCCCUUCCAUAGUGGAGAAAGCAAGGCGGAAGGCAGCAGCUAGGAUGCUUGGCUUGGAAGCCCACCAACGGAGCAAAAGCGCGAUCGAGAACGAAGAGCAAAACGGGGAUAUCACACAGGAGAGCAAUGUGCUGGUGGCUGCGGUUUACCUCUCUCGCCGACGCUUCCUCUUCGGCCCGUCGCGUCGCCGCUCGCCGCCCCUUCUCCUCGUCCACCACCCCUUCCCGACGUUCCCGUCCACCUCCUCCUCCCGGCGCCGAUCGCCGCGGCGCAGAGUCCAACCAGAGCUAGAGCGGCUGCAAUCAGGACGCCAAUCAUCAAUCAAACGCCCGUCGUCCUAGAGCGCACCGCACGCCCGCAUGAACAUGAUGGAGAAGCGGGAGCAAAUAGCGGAGGGAGGAGGAUUGGGGAAUCAUGAGCGCCUGCACUCACCACGAGCACCACCUGCUCCGCCUCUUCCGCGCUCUUGUAGCUGUCGCGGAGUCUCGUCUCCCAGCUAGAAGGCGAGCGAGUCGUUCGGGGAAUUUAUUCCAGCGGACUGGUAGUACGCAGCCCGGCCGCUGCUUCGAACCGAGGUUUUGAAUUCAGGGCUCCCGGGGCCGUCGGAUCGGGACGUGGGGCCCGGGGGACGGGCGGUGGGGAUCGGGGAGUUGGCGGCUGCGGGAUCCGACCGUUUGAGAGGCUGCGGCGGCGGGGCACGCACACGAGACGAUUUUGAAAUGGAGGGUGCGCCGCCUGCCUGCCGUGCGGUCCGGUGCGAGUUGCGCCGCGUACUUGGUGCGUGGCGGACUCGCUGGUCGCACUGCCACUCGCCGCGACUUUUUACGGCUUUUCCUCUGACAUUCGCUGCAGACGGGCGAGAGAAGCACAGAGUACGAUCUUUUUUUGAAAAAUCAGGUUGUUGUGCGUGUAUACCGUACUUGUUUGUGCUUCAAUUUUUUUUUUGAAUCUGGUCGCUUCGUUGUUUUUUAUCGGAAGGAGAUGGGCGUGACUUUCUGGAAGAGAGGGGAAGGGUCCGUGUGGUCCCUGUGGGACGGAGGGGAUUCGCGUCAUCUCCCUUGUUUUUGUUUGGGACUGUAGCAACGUGUCAAACUUACGUGAUCGCGUAAUUUGAGGUGGUGACAAGCAAAAUCAUGACAGGUUCGAUUUUCAAAACUCUCGGAUUUCACAAAUACGAAUUUCGAAUAGCUACCAGAUCUGUCGUUGUGGAUCCGCCCAUGGGCUUAUCCGAACACACACCAAGCUCAUGGUUCCGGAUCAUCUGUCAAUCAUUGCAACAAGCUCGCUCCAGCAUUUUCACCUCGCCCACCUCGCUCUUUACCAUGGAGCACGGGAGCAACACAGCACACAUGUAGACGGAGAACGUGACCUUGCCCCGCUGUCCCUUUGCUUGCAAGCGAAACAACCAUAUCCAACAUGCCAGCGGCCACACGGCGAACCGACUACCGAGUAGGCGAGUACCACUGCCACAGGGUACAAAAAAACAGGCCGCAUCAACCACAACCACAUCCAGCUGCGAGCAUUUAAACAACUAUAUUCAGCUAUUGCGUGCAUACAAGGACGUACGUGCAUUUUGGCAAUAGCGUGUCACAUGGAAGGCUUUGUAUGCACCUUAGGCUCAAAGGCCAGGGGAAAGUGAUUUCAAGCAGCUCGACAUGAUGGGCUCACAAGAAUACAAAGAUAGCUCGGGUCAGGGCGAGACGGCUCUUGCUUCUGUAGCGAUUAGCGAAUGAAUGGCUAGUGAGCUGUUCCUGUUCAUGAUGAAGGACACUGAAGAGCCUCGGGGAAAUCCGGUGCCAAUAGGCUCGGGGAAGUCUUGUGCCAAUAGCCUUUGCCACUUGAACGUAGAGUUCCCAAUGUUCUAUGGAACUAUGGAAGAAAACAGCCAAUUCUGUAGUUUCAGACUUUCAGCUGUAAAAGAAGAUAUUCCCGAUACGAAUUUGACCUAUCCUCUCCCACUCUUCAAGAGAAUGAUCACAUCUUAUUAUCCGCCUGCAUGGCUGCAUGAAGAAAAUAGAAGAAUCAUGUGAGGAAGUGCUAUUUCACACUGACAAGAUAUGAGUGCCAAUAAUGAGCUCCCUCCAAACCAGGCAAUAACUGAAUAGGACUACAGCGACACAUGAUAGAGAUGGAGAUUCCUAUUACUACUCUUAAAGAUAUGUCUUUACAUCAAGAUACAUCACAAGAUUCAACAAACAUUGUUUGUGUCCCCAAAGAACUUCUAUAGUAACAUCAUUGUUAGUAUUUGCAUUUUUCCCUUCUUUUUGCGUAUUAAGACAACAGCUGCUCUAAAAAUUUAAAAUAUUGUUAACUGGUAUUGCUUUCCUUAAUGAUUAAAAUUCCCUAAUAGCAUAUGCCAACACUUUCAACUGGAUCACUGUCCAAUUCUAAAAAGAAUGUAUGGCUUAAUUGUCCACAGAAAAAUGCUACCCGAGCACCAUUCCACAGCACCAAUGUUUGACAUGUGGAUCCACGUUCAGACUUCAGAGUGUAAAUCCUUGGUCCAUUUCAGUACAAGAAGCAGCUGGCAUUACCAUUUGUACUGGUUAUCCUUGCAGAAUUGUAAGACAAAAUGUCAACCUUUUUUAGAAGUAUGCCAGUACCCAGCAGCAAUAAUUGGUACCCAACUAAGCAGUACCAGGAGACAUGCAACAACUUCAUGCUUAAUACAUAUGCGACAUGUCAUCAAAAGCUGACAUCACGAAUUCAAGAUUGGUCAGGUACUUCAAAGAUAAGGGACCAAGUAAUGCAGUAAAAGAAAGUUACUCCAAAUUUUUAAUUCUAUUGUCAUUCUACCGCUUGAUAUCCUGUCUUAUCCACCUCCAGGUGCUAUGCUAUACGCCUAUACAUGAUUCAGCUAAACCUUCAGAGCUACACAGUAUGUGGAAGAUAAUGUGCUUGAAGGUAAUUGAUAUUAGAGACAAUGAUUCUAAUACUAUUUAAGAGAUGCAGAAACCCCAUGAGAAAAGGUAUUGUAUUUUUAAAUUUAUAAUUGAAGGUUAGGAUGGUCUAGUCAGCACCAAUCAGCUCAAACAUCAAGAAAAAUGCAGAGCCAGAGGUUCUGGCAAUUGAUAGAAUGGAUAAAUGAAGUAAACCAAACGAAAACACUUGAACGUUCAUGUUUCAGUUAUAUCAAUAGAUACAAAUUACCUACCAACUUGAAGCAAUGACUUGCAAACAGUGGCUCAACAGAAGUAACAAACAUUUCCAUCUUCAGUUAAUUUUGUGUAGACUAGCAAACUGAGGAUUAGUUCCAACCAGCAAACUCGGUACUGAAAAGCUCAGUAACCAUCUACUCUAAAAACUCUAGGUCCCUAUAAGAAAGAAUGUGAUUGAUCUGCAGUGUUUGUUUUUAAGGAAAGGAAAGUGUCUUUCAUGUUAAACAGGGGUAAAUGUACAUGGAUCUGCAGUGUUUGCGACCCUGAUCUGUGACAGCACUUUGGACCCAAAAGCUUUUAGUGGUUAUAAAUGCAGACCAGGUGGCCAGCUACCUUAAUUGGGCUGGAGUGCAUAUAAAUUACGAUGGCAUUGCCAAUUUGCAACACCACACUAAAUCCCUGGCGCAACCUUUCUGUUUCAAUGAAAAAUCCAACAAACCAGAGCAACAGCACAAAGACAAGUCAAGCACAUCAGCAUUUUGGCACUUGUCCACUGAAAACAAUUGCUAGAAUAUUGUGCUUCAACUAUUACCAAACCCAGUGAAACAAUAGUUUACUGCCAAUCUCCCACCAACUGAAAAAUCUAUAAGAUCACAUCUGCUUUUUUUCUCCCCACCCCGGUAGGGCGGUUGUAAGUGGUUGGAUGUUUGCUUGGUUUUUUUCCUCGUCUAUUAAACAUUUUGGCAAAUCUCUUGCCACCCUUUCAAAAAGAGAAGAAAAAAAAACA